UGGUUCUGGCAUCGAUGAAGAACGCAGCGAAAUGCGAUAAGUAAUGUGAAUUGCAGAAUUCAGUGAAUCAUCGAAUCUUUGAACGCACAUUGCGCCCCCUGGCACUCCGGGGGGCAUGCCUGUUCGAGCGUCAUUGAACCCUCAAGCACUGCUUGGUAUUGGGCGCCGGUCUCGCGACCCGCCCGUAACCCGUCGGCGGCACCGUCCGGCUCCAGGCGUAGCAGCAAUAUUUCGUCUCGGGGCUCGCGGCGGGCGUCUGCCCAUAAAGACGGGGGCUCGCCCCCACAGUUUGACCUCGGAUCAGGUAGGGAUACCCGCUGA
rnacentral:misc_RNA from 1 species